GGGCACAUGGUGUAGUUGGUUAUCACAUCCGCUUAGCAUUGAUUUCGUAGCUUGUGCGGGGGGUGCUGGGUUCAAUUCCCAGUGUGUCCA